CCUACGGGAGGCAGCAGUGGGGAAUAUUGGGCAAUGGGCGCAAGCCUGACCCAGCAACGCCGCGUGAAGGAAGAAGGCCUUCGGGUUGUAAACUUCUUUUGUCAGGGAAGAGUAGAAGACGGUACCUGACGAAUAAGCCAUGGCUAACUACGUGCCAGCAGCCGCGGUAAUACGUAGGGGGCAAGCGUUGUCCGGAUUUACUGGGUGUAAAGGGCGUGUAGCCGGGUUGACAAGCCAGAUGUGAAAUCCUGCGGCUUAACCGUAGAACUGCAUUGGAAACUGUUGAUCUAGAGUACUGGAGAGGCAGACGGAAUGCCUAGUGUAGCGGUGAAAUGCGUAGAUAUUAGGAGGAACACCAGUGGCGAAGGCAGUCUGCUGGACAGCUACUGACGGUGAAGCGCGAAAGCGUGGGGAGCAAACAGGAUUAGAUACCCCAGUAGUC
rnacentral:rRNA from 1 species